GUACUUACCUGGCAGGGGAGACACCAUGAUCAGGCAGGUGGUUUUCCCAGGGCGAGGCUCAUCCCUUGUACUCCGGGUGUGCUGACCCCUGCGAUUUCCCCAAAUGCGGGAAACUCGACUGCACAAUUUGUGGUAGUGGGGGACUGCGUUCGCGCUCUCCCCUG
rnacentral:snRNA from 1 species